AAGCCCAACUUACUUUGGAGUCUGACUCUUUCAUCUUCUCAUCCGUCAAUCGUUCCAUUCAUUCAUUAACCAACCCUCAACUCACAGAUUCGAAAGGAAUUUAUUUUAUUUUGUUUUUCAGAAAAUUCCUCAAAAUUCAAUUUCAUCUCAAAUCUGCAAAUCUGAAAAAUUUCAUCAUCAUGCGUGAAACUCUUGUUUGAUCGUUGAUUAUUAGCAAGAUUAUUGCUUGAGAGAGCGUGUUGGAAGUGGAGAGAGAUUGUUGCUUGUUUUUUCCCCCCAAAAAAUUAAGGCAACAAUCUCUCUCCACUCCCACCAAGCUCACUUUCAUCAGGCAUAUUCAUAUCUCAAAGAUUAUAAAGGAAUUGAUGAUCAAUGCAGCGUGAUGAAGGUUUCUGCUUUGAAUGGCGUUGGAAGUAUUACUCCAAAUUAAUUUCUGCUGAUAUUUUGGAGUUCUGACUACCUCCCAUGAAUAUUAAUAAAGAUCAGAGCUGUGGAAUGAACUGGAUAUCUAAGGAUAUGUUUGAAGCUCUGGAUGGCGAUUUUGGAGUUAAAUAUACAUUGUAAUGGCUGCAAGACUAUGUGGAACAGGCAUACAUUAAUUGCAGUGGGAAUUCAACUUACAAUAGAGAGUAUAUUUCUGCUAGUGGCUGAUGAUUGACUGACAAGCUGCAAGCGAGCUGGAGCUCAUGAGUACUUGCAAUGUAUUAUGUCAGCAAACAUGCAUGCGUAUGAAAAGGAAAGCGGGUCUUUGGAUGAUGGUUUUGAUGAGGAGGCAUAGUAUGCUUGUCUAUUUGCAGGGAACCCUGAACUUCCUGAGGGACAAAACAAAAGUAAGAAGGAAAAAAAAAGGUGAAGAGGAGAUAUUCCAAGUUUAUAAUUGUGAUACACAAAUUCACCAUUAUCCCAGAUAUUUUACCCUGCUAUCCCCUUAAAUUUUCUAUCCCAACCUUAUUUAUAGGUUCCCCGAGUUUCCAUAAUACCUUUGUGACAUUCAUUAUAUCACAUUUAUAGAUUUUGAAGCCCUUGCUAACAGGUUAAAGUGAUGAGACUUUUAAGUUCUUUUAAUGGUGAGCAUAUUCCGUAUGGGGGUGGUGGUUUUGAGUUACUUGAAAGCACCCAAGGUAUGUUGGUGCUGCUCUGUUUGAUGGUUAUGUCCAUAUCAAUUAUGUCUAUGAUUGUAUUUGCGUGUGCUGAUGAUGGUGAGCCUGGAAAAACUCGUAGCAGUUACGGUGGUGGUGGAUUUUUUACGAGUAGUGGUGGAGGAUUUGGUGGUGGUGUUUUUUUCGAUAGCAGUGGUGGAGGAUUUAGCGGCGGUGGAGGUGGAGGAUGUGGCGGCGGAGGUGGUGGUGGUGGCGGAGGUGGUGGUGGAGGGGGAGGUUGUUAAUUAUAAUAAAACAUCAAUCUAUGACUCAGUAGCGCGCCUUAAAGACAUGAUCAAUUUCUAAUGAAGGGUUCCUUUACUUUGAGUUUCCCUUUCUUUAAACUACUACAAGAUUCAUUGUAACAUGUCAUAGUUCUUGUGUAUACUUGAAACAUUCCUUAAAAGAUUGUGAAUACCGCAUCAAAAAAAUAUUAAGCCAUCAGCCAUGGGAUAAAGGGGAUUAUUACAGGUGCCCAAACCUUACUGUUUGAAAAAACUAUUGUGUAUAAUUUGAGAGUAAGUGAAAAAAUUAUUGUGUAUAAUUUGACAGUUUGUAAACUAUAACAUAUGUAAUUUUUUAGCUUUGUGACACGGAAAGAUGAUAUUUGUUUGAUCGUUGUUGUUGGUAAAAUACCUGUUGAUUCCCAUAACAAAAUAGAGAAGAUGAAAGGGAAAAAUACUUGAUUGAAGAUCUCAACUCACAGUUGCGCCGUGGAACAAUAAUCCACUGCCUUAGAAGCGAAAUACGCCACCACCGGUACAGGUUUCCUGAUGACGCACGCCCCCCAAGUUUAACGCAACUCUUCCCGUAAUUCGUGCACCCGAACCCGAAAAGUGGAAUUACUCAAGAACUGUUCAGAUCUUAAAGGCUCUUAGAGUGAAGAGAUGAGGCUUUUGAGUUCUCUAAAUGGUGAUCAUAUUCCGUAUGGGAGCGGUAGUUUUGAGUUAAUUGAAAGCACCCAAGGUAUGUUGGUGCCGCUAUAGUGGUGGCACCUAUACCAGUGGUGGUGGAGGAGGCAUUGGAGGUGGAGGAUGUGGCGGGGAUGGAGGUGGAGGAUGUGGCGGUGGUGGAGGAUGUGGUGGUGGAGGAUGUGGCGGUGGUGGUUGUUAAAGUAUAAAUUUUAACAUCAAUCUUCGACUCAAUAAUUGUCCGUUCCUUUUCUUUGAACUCCCGGUUGUUAAAGUCAUAGUUCAACAUCAAUAAUAAUCAUUCGUUCCUUUUCUAUAAACUCCCGUUCUUUGCAUUUUUUUUUUUAAGUAGAUAUACCAAGUAUAUUGUAACAUAUAAGUAUGUACUUUGUUUUAUGAGUUAUGUAUGUGAAACUGUUUGUAAGGUGGUGGUUGCUACUUGCUAGGCUUGCAAACGUUACUAUUUUUAUUAAUUUUAUUUUAAUAGUGCACACUAAGCA